AUUGAACGCUGGCGGCAUGCUUUACACAUGCAAGUCGAACGGUAACAGGCCGCAAGGUGCUGACGAGUGGCGCACGGGUGAGUAAUGCAUCGGAACGUGCCCAGUCGUGGGGGAUAACUACUCGAAAGAGUAGCUAAUACCGCAUACGAUCUAUGGAUGAAAGCGGGGGACCGUAAGGCCUCGCGCGAUUGGAGCGGCCGAUGUCAGAUUAGGUAGUUGGUGGGGUAAAGGCUCACCAAGCCAACGAUCUGUAGCUGGUCUGAGAGGACAACCAGCCACACUGGGACUGAGACACGGCCCAGACUCCUACGGGGGGCAGCAGUGGGGAAUUUUGGACAAUGGGCGCAAGCCUGAUCCAGCAAUGCCGCGUGCAGGAAGAAGGCCUUCGGGUUGUAAACUGCUUUUGUACGGAACGAAACGGCUCUGGUUAAUACCCGGGGCUAAUGACGGUACCGUAAGAAUAAGCACCGGCUAACUACGUG
rnacentral:rRNA from 1 species